GUAGGGAUCCGAGCGUUAUCCGAAUUUACUGGGCGUAAAGCGCGUGUAGGCGCCGGGUAAGUUGGGACGUGAAAGCUCCUGGCUCAACUAGGAGAGGUCGUUCAAAACUGCCCUAGCUAGAGGGCGACAGAGGGAGGUGGAAUUCCCGGUGUAGUGGUGAAAUGCGUAGAUAUCGGGAGGAACACCAGUGGCGAAGGCGGCCUCCUGGGUCGCCCCUGACGCUCAGACGCGAAAGCUAGGGGAGCAAACGGGAUUAGAUACCCCGGUAGUCCUAGCUGUAAACGAUGUGGACUUGGCGUUGGUGGGGUCAAAUCCAUCAGUGCCGGAGCUAACGCGAUAAGUCCACCGCCUGGGGACUACGACCGCAAGGUUAA
rnacentral:rRNA from 1 species